CCAGGCAGCUGCCAGCCUGCAGAGAUGCCUUCAAAUCAAAGGUUCAGGUGGGAUGAAGUUUUGUUUGGACGAAGGUGGGAGUUUCCAGGGAGCCAGCUGGAAGUGCAGAAGGGAUGGAAAGCUUUCCCAGGUGGGUCCCACUGGAGGUGUGCUGAAGGCAGGGAUGUGCACCCUUUGCUGAGGGAAAAGAACUUGCUGAGGCUCUGAAAGGAGCUGAGCUGCUGCAGGGAGAGAUGUCCUCCCGUGGGCACGGGGAGCUGCCUUGGCACGGGACGGGAGCGCCCCCGGCCCUGCCUUCUCCUGCUUGAAAAUAUCACCUGGAGCCCCGGCUCAGGGGGGCUAAAUCAGCUGGACUCCAGGCAGCUCUGUCAGCUGCCCCCAGGGACAUGGGUGGGGCUGGGGGAUGAGGGCUUUAGAUAGCCAGUUGUUUGGAGCAGAUGCCUGUCCCUGUCCCGAUGCUGCUGAGCUUCCUUGGACGCUCUGCCCGUUCCUGGCACAGCUGGCGUUCAAGGGGCAGCUCUGCACGGGAAUAUCCACCCUCCAGGAGGCACUGUGAGGUUAUGACAUUACAUAUGAGCAUUACUGUAGCCAGCCCAGAGCUGGAGGUUUGUUUUAGAAAGAAAAUUCUUGGACUCUGCAAAAGUGAAAGCUCAGUUUCUACAAAAACCAUCUGGUUGUGGCAUUGCACGCUCCAGACACUCUUCUCUCCUUGCCUGAGCAAAAGGUUUUAUCUCCUGUACUAAAUCAGGAGAAGCACAAAGACAGAAUUCCACAUUCACCAAGCAUUAAAUAAGGGCUUCAAAAGAAAAAUCAGGGCAGCAGUAACUCUUAAGAGCACUUGGCUUCAGUCUUAACAGGCAAGCCUCAGAACAGCUGUUCACCUUUAGUGCUGCAGAGGUACUUCCAAGACAGGCACUAGAGGUCAGACAUCUAGGUCUUAUCGCCUUUAUUUGUGGUGUGAAGAUUGCCAGCCCUUAAGGCCAGCAGGGCCUCCUGCAUCAGGCAGGGCUCAGUGGUGCCUUUACCUGCGGAAGGUCGGCUGAAUCCAUACAGGUCUCUGCACUGCAAAUGCACAUGAACCAGUGGAAGAAAGCUCUCCAUGUGCUUCCUCAGGUACUUCCCAGUGGCGCUGCUCAGACACCAGAGCUCCAACUGCAGCAGGUGAGUCCUGGAGUGCUGGAUCAGCAUGGCCACAAUGGCCAGGGAGGUGAGUGAGCACUGGGCAAGGCAGUGAGCCUGCACCUCAACACCACCUGUGAGAGCAAGGACUGGCUCACUCUGGAGAGCCUGAAGGAAAACUCGUUCCAAAUCUCUUCUGGCCGAUGCUGACAUCAAUUUCCCCAAAGCCUUAAUGUGCUCUGUGGACAGCAGAAGUUCUCCUUGCUGGGGCUGUCUUUGGUGGCUGUCUGUAAAGAGCUGCACCAAAGUUUGUCCAUAGAAGCUUAACUGCUUCCCUAUUUUAGGGGAUUUUUUCAGAUUUCUGAGAAGCCAAGCCCAUCUCAGGAAGUUGCAGCAUGGUUAAAGUGAUCUCCUUCAGCUGAGCUGCAGUCAUGUACAUGUGCAGCUCCUCCAGAGCCUGCAGCUGGUGAGACUUCCUGGGAUAGACCUGGCUUUGGUCCUUCCCCCCAGUCUGCAGCUCUUCCAGGACACUUUUGGUGAUGGCUUUGAAAUACUUGGACAAGACGUGUCUGUGAUCUCUCGUUUUCAGCAGCUGGAGCACCCCAGAAUGGAGGUGAGCUGACAGGAGCUUCACAGUGACAGGGUUCAGACCAGGCUGAGGAAUAGAGCGCAGCUCCAACGCCAGGAACCAGCUCUCCAGUGCAGGAUGUCUGAAAAUCAAGGGAUUUGGUACCUUGUCAUUUGAAGACACUUCUGUCAUCAGAGGCUCCUCAUCCAUGAAGAGAUCCCAUCAGCCUGAUGCUCCUCCUGCUUCUGCUGCUGCUCCAGCUUUAUUUCAUUGUCCCGGCACAACAAGAUGCUCAGCAGGUCCACACAGAGAUCAACAAGCUGAGGACCCAAAGUUUUACCAAGCUAUGAAAACAAAGACAUGUUGGAAGUGAAGAAAAGAGGAGGAUGGGAGCAGACAGGUGCUUUAUCUUUAUUAAAAAGGAAAGGGCUGUUUGUUCUAAUUGUACUAGAAAUAAAUCAGGUGGUUGAAGAAAUAAGUCAGGUGGUUGCACACCUUGUCUGGCUGUGGUGUCUCCCUUCAGCUCUAGGAAUCACGCUUAUCAAGGUGUCCUGUUUGCAACACAAGCAGAAAAAGGUACCAAAAUUCAUCUUGGAACUCAUAUUUAUAGAAAGUGGCUAGAUUAUUUUUUUAAAGAAUCAAAAGAUAAAAUAACCCAAGUAUAUUUUUUUUCUGUAACUUUUUCUCCCUGCACACAAUAUAGCUGCACCUCAGAGCAGCUCCACAUUGCUUUCUCUGUACAGAACUGAUGACACUUAGAUUGUCUUCUCUAGCAGCUCCUAUGACAAUUAAAGCUGAAUUUGUUUCUUGGCCUACACAAAAACAAAACAAAACAAAACAAAAAAAAAAAAAAAAAACAACC